GUUGCUCUGUUUUCUUCAUAAAUCCAUUCGCUCUCUUUCGCUCUCUGUUUGAAGUGCAUUAAAUUGUAUACACUUUUCUCAUUUGAGGACUUUUCUUGCCUAAAUCUCAUUGUGGAAGUUUUAGAUUGAUAUCUUGUACUGAACAUGUGUAGGUUUUGUUCUUUAUUUUGAUGCAACAUUAUACGAUGUAAAUACCUAUGAGAUUAUGGAUCACAUCACAGUGCCACAUAAAUUGAGUUGGUAUAGUUACUUAUUUCCACCCAGUCUACUAUUUAGGUUGAAAGUUUUUAAUUGUUUUAGGGUUCUUAUGGAUCAUGUGUCGCCUCGUUCUCGCUUGAAUUACAACCUUGUCACUGCAGUAGUCCUAAGAAGGUGAAUUUUCUGAUACCAUUAUCCUUAUAAAUAUUGCAACAUUUUGUUUCAAUUUAUGGAGUCGGUCACCGUUUAGAGCAAA